rnacentral:lncRNA from 1 species
GUGGUGCUGAUUGAGAUGAUGAAUGUGUACUACAUUUUGAUUUUAAAGAAUGUAAAUUUGGAGAACGCAAUAAUGAACAUGGAAAAAGAACUGCAUUAAUUGAGUAACUUUUUACCACGUACAUCUAUUUUGUUAUUUUUAACUAAUGAAGGGCAUCAACUAUGUAGCUUUUAACUACUGAAGUGCAUCAAAUAUUUGCUUCAUUAUAAGUUACGAGAUUAUCAUAUUCAUUCUUCUUCGAUUCUCUUGCUUAGAUAUAUUAAUAUAAUAUUGUAUGCAAAGUAAUAAAAUUAAACAAUUG